UACGAAGGGGGGCUAGCGUUGUUCGGAUUUACUGGGCGUAAAAGCGCACGUAGGCGGAUCGAUCAGUCAGGGGUGAAAUCCCAGAGCUCAACUCUGGAACUGCCUUUGAUACUGUCGAUCUGGAGUAUGGAAGAGGUGAGUGGAAUUCCGAGUGUAGAGGUGAAAUUCGUAGAUAUUCGGAGGAACACCAGUGGCGAAGGCGCUCACUGGUCCAUUACUGACGCUGAGGUGCGAAAGCGUGGGAGCAAACAGG
rnacentral:rRNA from 1 species